rnacentral:lncRNA from 1 species
AUGCACACUCCAGGUGGGGUGGGGCACUGCCCACUCCCACAACGGAGCAGUCAGCCCCUGACACACAGGAGAUUUCCACAAGCUGAAAAGAGCACAGACGGGCUCAGCGCUCAUGACGGCAAACGUGCAGCCCAGGCAAGGAGUCCUCACACAUCCGCAAGAAGAGGAAAAGAAUUGGGGCAUCCGUGGAAAGCCACGUGGGUGCAGCCCCACGGAGGGAAAGCCAGUGCCGCGUGGAUCAUCCUGGGUCCCUCCAGCUUGAGAAGCUUGUGCUGUGUGGACGCGGAGCUGGUGGUGUCCCCACGUCCCAGCCUAGGGAUUCAGAAGACACCAGACGGGAACUGCGAGCGUCAGCAAGCCAGGGGCUCGGUGUGCCUGGGCCCAAGGAAACCAGCGUCAUUACGGCAGGUGUUUGGGGCCCACACGGUGGCACAGCAGGUAAAGCCACUACCCACAGCACCUGCAUCCCACAUGAGCACCAGUUCAAGAGCCAUGCAGCUCCCUGCUGAUGCACCGCAGAAAGCAGCAGAGAACGGCCUAAGUGCUUGGGGCCCUGCCACCCCUAUCAGAGACCCAGAUGAAGCUCCUGGCUCCUGGCUCCUGGCUUUGGCCUGGCCCAGCCCUGGCUGCUGCAGCCAUGUGGGGAGUGAACCAGCAGAUGGAAGAUCUCACUUUGUCUCUCAUUCGCACACUCUCUCUUUCUACUCUGUCUUUCAAAUACAUAAAAUAAAUCUGAAAAGAAAAGAAGAAAGAAAGAGAGAGAGAGAGAGAACAAGCAGGUGGGAGCUGUACACACACAAACUUCACGUCUACAGGACAGCGCUGGCCCAGAGGUUGAGACGCCAUUUGGGACACGCACAGUCCAGAUCAGAAGGCCACGCCCAGGUCUCAUCUCUGCCUCCAUUCUUCUUGGAAAUGUGCAUCGCUGGGUGGCUCAAGUGGGUGGGCCCCUGCCACCUAUGUGGGAGCCCUGGAGGGCGUUCCCGGCUCCUGGCUUCAGCCUGCCCCAGCCGCUCUGCAGGCACUUGGAGAGUGAACCAGUGGAUGCAAGUGCUCUCUCACUCUCGUUCUCUCUCAAAAGCAUACAUGAAAAAACUAAAAAGACAAACUUCAAACACAGGCCCCUUGGAAGGUCUCCGGGACACCAUCCUUUCCGCAGCGACCGUCAGAGCUCUGCGGUCCCACAGACUGGAGAGCUCUGCGGCCUCCUGCCUCUCGCCCGAGAGGACCAGGAGCUGGCUCCAGGAGCCCAUCCUGCUCCAACCACUCAGCCAGGUAGAAGGGACCCGGCCCCGCCCAAGGCCCCCGUUCCCUCCUCCCACCUCAUCCAGCUGCUUCUUCCAAAAGACAAAGAAGCAGAAGCACACGCGUGUGCACACACGCACUGACAAACACCACGCAGACGGACAUUCUCCUUAA